rnacentral:rRNA from 1 species
GACGAACGCUGGCGGCGUGCUUAACACAUGCAAGUCGAACGGACAGGCCCUGCUUUUGUGGGGUGCUCGAUUGGCGAACGGGGGAGUAACACGUGAGUAUCCUGCCCUUGUCUUUGGGAUAACUUCAGGAAACUCGGGCUAAUACCGGGUAGGAGCUCCUGCUCCAUGGGGGGGGUUGGAAAGUUUCGGCGGUUGGGGCUGGACUCGCGGCUUCUCAGCUUGUUGGUGGGGUAGUGGCUUACCAAGGCUUUGACGGAUAGGCGGCCUGAGAGGGUGAACGGGCACAUUGGGACUGAGAGAGGGCCCAGACUCCUACGGGAGGCAGCAGUCGGGAAUAUUGCACAACGGGCGGAAGCCUGAGGCAGCAAUGCCGCGUGCGGGAUGAAGGCCUUCGGGUUGUAAACCGCUUUGGCCUGUGACGAAGCGUGAGUGACGGUAAUGGGUAAAGAAGCACCGGCUAACUACGUG